rnacentral:lncRNA from 1 species
UUUUAUUUCCUGUUCGCUGCCCCCCUUCCUCCCUCGACCGCUUCGUUCGUUCUCUACAACGAAGCUUUCCCUUCCUCCCUCGUGCCUGGAUCCCCUUUAUCUCCGUCGUUCGGCCGCUUUUUCACCUGCUUUCUUCCUCAGGAAUCCUACUCCAGCAAGAGACCGCUGCCCUCGUAAUGAGUCGUCGGGUCUUUGUGCUUCCUUUUCAUCCACGCCACUGCAUCAGAUCUGCCUGACUUCGUCGCAUUGGAUCUUUAUUUUAGGUCGUCGGUAUCUCCGGCGUCGGCGUCGGCGUCGGCGUCGUCUAGGGUUCCGACAAGGUCGGCGUCGUGUAGGGUUCCGUCAAGGUCAGCUCGUCUAGGUCCCCAUCAAGCUUCAUCAAGCUCGGCGUCGACAAGGUAAACACGCCCAAAUUCCCCUGUUAUGGACCUUGCUCGGCGUCGACAAGGUCCAUCCCCGUACGUGUCGCUCUGCGGCGCCACUUGCACCGACACUCCCAUCUGGCUGUGUUCACCCCUUUGCCAGCGGCAGGUGCGACGGGCGGAGGCGGCGGCGACGGGGGGAGUGGAGCUCAUUUGGAUUGUAAAUCAGAAGCAUUCCGAGCUUGAUUGCCGCUUUGGAAGGUAGCAAGUCUUGUUCCCUAAAAAAAGUCUCUACGUACUAUACAAUACUGAAUUCUCUCACAAAGAAAGUUCUGAAAUGAGGCAUGUAAGUAGCAAGCUGAAUUCAGAUCCCAUCCGACAUGCACAUGACAUGCCGUGAUGAAUGAUGAUGCUUGUGUGAUGAACUGCGCAACCAGGCCAGCUUUCUUUUCAUACUCUGUAACCUGUCUCAUGUUUUGGUCUGAAUUAUGUCCACUUUCUGAAUUUGUUUCUGAUUUUUGAAUGUGUUGCGUUUGUUCUUCUGCAGUCCAUCCUGCACAGGAGGGUAGGCGCAGACAUGAGGCUCGAGGGCUACUACCGCGUAUGGCCGGACCCGUGGACAAGCAGCGGUAGGGACAUACAUAGACUGAAAUAUGAACUCAACUGAACAUAUGUACUCUUGAAUCCGUGCAUAAUGUCAUGUGGAGCGUUUUUUUAUUUGAUUUGGAUGUUUCUGAUAUUAGACAAGGGGUUGUGCUCAGAGAUUUCGGAUUCAAGGGUAUGAUUCAACAUGUUGUUGUUAGGAGGUUGUGUGUUCUGGCACUUGGCCGUGGGAUUUCUAUUUUUGUUUCUUGAUGAUGAUAGGGUGAUUUGUGUAGGUUGACAUAGAAGUUUUUCUAUGUUUUAUAAAUGUUAUGUUUAUUUUAUGAAUUUUGUAGCAGCAACCUGGAUUAGUUCUGGAGACUUGUUAGCAUGUAUUAGGUUUUCUUCUAUUCAGCCGUUGGUAAGCAUGCAUCUAUUAACAUUUAGGUCGCUUGUCCAUAUUAUAGGCUAGAGUAGUUUUGUAAAUGUUAAGCCAUGAAUUUAUUCACAUGUUUGUAUUAAUAAACGAUGCGUGUGUUGCAUCCUACCCGCAUGACUUUGUUUUUUUAAUGUUGAAAAGUUUUCUUUAAUUUGCAUUUGAUGCUCUAUAUAGUCCUUUGCUUGCACAGUAGAGUGUUCUGGUGUUUUAGGUAAUUUCCUCUGUUGUUCUAGGAGUAGUACUACCAAUUUUUUCACACUAUAUUUGUGAAAUUAUACAGAUACAAAUUUUGUUGUUAAUUGCAGUGUUUUGGGCGGACAUAGUUAGUUAACAAUGUUUUUGUAGUAUGGUGUCAUUCAUCUACCAUACUUCUGUUCCUUGCAAGUAUUAUCAUAACAUGAUUAUUCAUGGUGUUCUUGUCCUUUGUGUUGCUUAGCAAUUAUUCGUUUGGGCACACACACAAAAGCAGAACUUGUCUAGCAAUCCCUUUUAAGUACUAACAUAGUCGUUUGAUCUUUUUACUGUCAUUGAUAUAGUUUGUUGACCUUUUUUCAAUGCUAAUGUAUUUAGUGUUUUCAUUAUCAUGCUUUCUUCUGCGAAUAGCACAACUAUCAGUGAUUCUAAAUACUUGAAUCAUGUUUCUUGAAUAACACUUGAAUAAUGUUCCUUGGAAAAUGUUUCUCUACAUACUUGAAUUAUGUCCCAUAAUAAUGUUCACUUCGAAAUGUUCCUUCAAUAGUGUUCCUUGGAAAAUGUUCCGCCAAUAACGUUCCCUACAAAAUUGUUCCUUCAAUAUUUGAUCCCUAAAUUAUGUCCCUUUCAAUAUGUUUCCUAAAUAAUGUUCCUUGGAAAUUGUUCAUCGAAUAACGUUCCCUAAAUACUUGAAUUAUGUUCCUUGAAUAACACUUGAAUAAUGUUCCUUGGAAAUAGUUCCCUAAAUAAUGUUCUGCCAAUAAUGUUCCCUACAAAAUUGUUCCUUCAAUAUUUGAUCCCUAAAUUAUGCUCCUUUCAAUAACAUUUCCUAAAUAAUGUUCCCUGGAAAUUGUUCACCGAAUAAUGUUCCCUAAAUACUUGAUUAUGUCCCCUAAUAAUGUUCACUUGGAACUAUUCCUUCGAUAAAGUUUUCCGCUCAAUAUUUUUUUAUCCCUAAAUAUUGUUCCGCCAAUAGUGUUUCACCAAUAAUGUUCCUUACAAAAUUGUUCCUUUGAUUUUUUUUGUUUCAUAAAUAAUGUUCCUUCGAAACUGUUGCAUAAAUAAUGUCCCCUAAAUACUUGAAUAAUGUCCCCUAAUAUUAUUCAUUUCGAAAUGUUCCUUUGAAUAAUGUUUGUUCAAUAUUUCGGACCCUUUGUUCAACUAGUGUUAGCUAAAUAAUGAUACUUGAAAAAUGUUUCCCUAAUUCCUGUAAUGUUCACUUCAAAUUGUUCCUUUUAUAAUGUUCCCUACAAAAUUGUUCUUUCAAUAUUCGGUAUAUAAAUAAUGUUUCUUCAAAAAUGUUCCUUUAAUAAAGUUUUUCACUCAAUUUUAUUAUGCCUCCAAUAAUGUUCCCUACAAAAUCAUUCCUUUAAUAUUUGUUUCCUAAAUAAUGUUCCUUGGAAAUAGUUACUUAAAUACUGUUCCGCCAAUAAUGUUCCCUACAAAAUUGUUCCUUCAAUAUUUGAUCCCUAAAUUAUGCCCCUUUCAAUAAUGUUUCCUAAAUAAUGUUCCUUGGAAAUUGUUCAUAGAAUAAUGUUCCCUAAAUAUUUGAAUUAUGUUCCUUGAAUAACACUUGAAUAAUUUUCCUUGGAAAAUGUUUCUUUAGAGCGGAUUUUUUUUGACAUCAUGAACCCGUACUAAACUGGAGAUGCAUUUCUGCCUACAAUUAGUGUUGUGAUCUACAACUUCAAGCCUUUGUUUGCUGCUACAUACCGAAAUACUACUUUUAACAUAGGAAAUUUUGAGUCGAGAUUUGUACCAGCUCUGAAGGUCAAUUUUAGGUGCCUUCUCUAUCUUUUUGGAACUCUCCAAUGUGCUUUUAUAUGAGUGAUGAACAACUUCUUUGUUCUAUACUCUCAAUAAAAGAUAGAAAGUGUUUUGAAUUGACUGGAAUUUCCAUGUCUUUCUUUUUUUGUACAGGUGUGACUCAGGAAUUUUAUUUCUUUAGUAUCUUAGAAACUACAAAGGUCUCAGAAUCUAGGGUUUCUCUAAUGUAAGUACCCCCCUACCCCCACCCCAAUUUCUCCAACAAAAACAGUUCCAUUCCAUUUUUCUGAUUCUUUGGAACAUAACAUAAAUUGAACUGCAACUUUCCUAAAUUUUUGAAGGAUGAUCUACAAGGUCUACGUGAGAAAUUGCUUUUCGAGAUUGUCACUUGCAAGGACAAUGAAAUUCAACUACAAUUUGUAACUUCUUUCCUGCAGAGACAUGUAUUAAAAUCCCUACUUCUAUUAAACGCAAGUACAACGGACCAUAAUUUCUCUGGUAGACACUUGUUUUCGUUGGUGCGUAGGUUGUAAUUAAUUUCAAAUUAUUUCUGCUUCAAUAGGGUUUCCGCAUGUUCAAAUAAAGAUUUCAAGGUAAUCAUUUUGAACCCACAUAUGAGCACAUGUUAAGUAACUUUAUACACAUCCCAUCGGUGCAACAUCCAAUUUACUUCGCUGUACCAACUAACAUAUUUCCCUUUUUAUUAUCAAGGGUCCCAAUGCAACAAUUUCCAACUCAAAGGAAUAGUACCGUGAGGGAACUCUUCUGUUGUUUCUUUAUCAGUUAUAAAGAAGGUUUCCCAAUGAAACUGUUCUGCUGGUUCCCCAAUGAUAGUUGUGGCAUUACUUUCAGUUGUAAAGAAGGUCUAAGGCUGCAGAAUAAGUUUGUAAAGAAGCUCAAACAUGCUUCUAUACUCAUACUUUUCUUGGAUUUUCAACUGUUUUAACAAGCAGCUAAAACAACAAAAAUCUUCUGUUGUAUGUUCCUUGUCUUU